rnacentral:rRNA from 1 species
GUUUGAUCAUGGCUCAGGAUAAACGCUGGCGGCGUGCCUUAUGCAUGCAAGUCGAACGCACCGCAAGGUGAGUGGCGAACGGGUGAGUAACACGUAGGAACCUGCCUGGAAGUGGGGGAUAACUCCUCGAAAGAGGGGCUAAUACCGCAUACGGUCUUCGGACCAAAGCUUCGGCGCUUUCAGAGGGGCCUGCGGCGGAUUAGCUUGUUGGUGGGGUAACGGCCUACCAAGGCGACGAUCCGUAGCUGGUCUGAGAGGAUGGUCAGCCACACUGGGACUGAGAUACGGCCCAGACUCCUACGGGAGGCAGCAGCAAGGAAUUUUGCGCAAUGGGCGAAAGCCUGACGCAGCAACGCCGCGUGGGGGAUGAAGGCCUUCGGGUUGUAAACCCCUUUUGCGAGGGAAGAAGAUCUGACGGUACCUCGCGAAUAAGCCACGGCUAACUACGUGCCAGCAGCCGCGGUAAUACGUAGGUGGCAAGCGUUGUCCGGAUUUACUGGGCGUAAAGCGCGCGCAGGCGGAUUGGUCAGUCUGGGGUGAAAUCUCACGGCUCAACUGUGAGCGGUCCCUGGAUACUGCCAGUCUUGAGGGGUCUAGAGGAGAGCGGAAUUCCCGGUGUAGUGGUGGAAUGCGUAGAUAUCGGGAAGAACACCAGUGGCGAAAGCGGCUCUCUGGGGAUCACCUGACGCUGAGGCGCGAAAGCGUGGGGAGCGAACCGGAUUAGAUACCCGGGUAGUCCACGCCGUAAACGAUGAGUACUAGCUGUCGGGGGUAUCGACCCCUCCGGUAGCGCAGCUAACGCGUUAAGUACUCCGCCUGGGGACUACGGCCGCAAGGCUAAAACUCAAUGAAUUGACGG